rnacentral:lncRNA from 7 species
GAUCCCCUUUGCUCUGGGAAGCCGUGGGCACGCGGAGCGGCGCGCGUGUUUCGUCAACUAUUCAUAAACAAUUUGGAGUACGAGUUGUUAUGCUGUCCAUCCUGUGGCCAAGGAAGUGAGGAAGUGUCUGAGGAGAUUUUGACAGAAAUCGGACCUCACUGUUAGAUCGCAAGGAAGUGCAUUUAUGUACUGCGUUCUGAAGGUGUUUGAUUCAUUUGUGUCAAGCCAAGUGUACAGCAUGGUCAUGGCUCCCAGAACUAUCAAAACCCUCCAAGUACAUGCACAACUGUAGACAUUAUCCAAGUAACUUUUUCUUUAUGUGGUAUCUGCAAUUCAUCCUGACCAAGACCAGAAAUAAUUUGUUUUUAAAUCAGAUGGAGCAGUGGAAACCAUAAUGCAGUAAAAGCCAAGAUUUUGUGUUCUUUGACUUUAUUUUUCUUUAGGAAGAUGGAAAACAAGUUACAGUAGAAUUGGACAAUUUCCAGCAGGGAACAUCAAGUUAAACAGUGCAUUAUUACAACAUACGUGAGGAGCAAACAACAGUAUGAGCAGACUUGUUUCUUCUUUUGUCUAAUAUGCAAUCACAGCUAGUAGAAGACAUUUUUAUUUUAAAAUAUGGGAAUGUAUAUAUUCAUAGAUUUUAACAUCUGUUCUUUUUCAAUUGUUUGCUUACCAGCUAUUCUUAAAUAUUUCACAGAAAACCCUGGGGCUUAUUAAAAUUUUAGUAGGAAAGUCGAUUUUGUUGUUGUUUUUUCAGGGCGCACAAGAUGUUACCUCUAAAGAAAUAUUAGUGAAUUACAUCUCUCCUUUUGACUGUAAUGAUUUCAUAAUUAUAUUUUGUCAUAAAGGAAAUCUACACAGGUUCAUUGUUUUUCUUAUUUCCUGGGUAAAGUUUAAUCUUGCUCUGGAAUGUGGGCAGAUGGGAAUAACCUUUGUAAGCAUUCAUCAUGAUGAGUCUGUGCAAAAAUGAUGUGAGUUGUUGUUGUUCUUUAGCUUCAUCUUAUUC